rnacentral:rRNA from 1 species
AAUUAUUGAUUUAUAAUAUAUUUUAUUUAUUUUAGUUUAAUAGAAAUAACUUAUUUUAAAGUAAAUUUUAUUGAAAUAAUUUUAUUUAUUAUAGUUGAAAGUACUGUGAAGGAUAAUUUAUUAUUUUAUUAAAAGUAGUUUUUAUUUAAUGUACCUUUUGUAUCAGGGUUAAUUAAUUCAUUCUAUUUAUUUAGUUUUCCCGAAGUAGAAGGAGAUACUAUUAUAUGUUAGUUAAUGUAUCAAUAUUAUUGAUGAUAUAAUAGUAGUAAUGAAAGGUUAUUCGUCUUUUAUAUAUCUGGUUUUUCAAGAUCUAAAUUUAAUUUAGGAAUGUUCAAGUAUAUAUUUAAUUUUAUUAAUUUUUAUUGUAUCAUUUUAAUGUUUUUGGGGAUAAGCUCGGGAAUAGUUUUAUAAUUUCAUAUAUAAAUAAGUUUAAGUAGGCUUAGAAUCAGCUAUCUUAUAUUUCGUUAUAGAUUUUUCUUAUGGUUAUUUUAUUUUAUUUAAUUUAAUUUUUUUAUUGAAGAGUAAAUUUUAAUUGAAUAUUUUUAGUUAUAAUGAUUAAAUUAGUAAAUUUGUGAAUUAAAUUAUAGGAACUCGGCAAUUUUUAUGUUCGCCUGUUUAACAAAAACAUGUCCUUUUGUAUAUUUAUUUAAGGUUUGGCCUGCCCUAUGAUUGAUUUAAUGGCCGCGGUAUUUUAACCGUGCUAAGGUAGCAUAAUCAUUUGUCUUUUAAUUGAGGGCUAGAAUGAAGGGUCGGACGAAAUAUAAUCUUUCUUUAAUUUAAUAAUUGAAUUUAAUUUUCUAGUUAAAAAGCUGGAAUUUUUUUGUUGGACGAGAAGACCCUAUAAAUCUUUAUAUUUAGUGUUUAUUUAUAAUUUAGAUAAUUAAAUUUAAAUUAAUAGUAGAUAUUUAAUUGGGGUGAUUGCAGGGAUUAAAUAACUCCUGUUUAAAUAUUUCACUAAUAAGUGUUUUGAUGAUCCAUUAAUAGUGAUUGUAAGAUUAAGAUACUUUAGGGAUAACAGCGUAAUUUCUUUGGAGAGUUCUUAUCGAUGAAGGAGUUUGCGACCUCGAUGUUGGAUUAAAAUAAGUGUUAGGUGUAGCAGCUUAAUUACUAGGUCUGUUCGACCUUUAAUUUUUUACAUGAUCUGAGUUCAGAUCGGCGUGAGCCAGGUCAGUUUCUAUCCUCAAGCUUAAUUUAUAUUUUAGUACGAAAGGACCAAAUAUAAGGAAUAAUUUUUUUAUUUGAGUUAUAUU